rnacentral:rRNA from 1 species
CACGUAGGGACCAAGCGUUGUCCGGAUUCAUUGGGCGUAAAGAGCUCGUAGGCGGUUCGAUAAGUCGGGUGUGAAACCUCCAGGCUCAACCUGGAGACGCCACCCGAUACUGUCGUGACUAGAGUCCAGUAGGGGAGCGUGGAAUUCCUGGUGUAGCGGUGAAAUGCGCAGAUAUCAGGAGGAACACCGGUGGCGAAGGCGGUUCUCUGGGCAUGACCUGACGCUGAGGAGCGAAAGUGUGGGGAGCGAACAGG